rnacentral:tRNA from 2 species
GGAGGGAUUCCCGAGUGGCCAAAGGGGGCAGACUGUAAAUCUGUUGGCUUAGCCUUCGAAGGUUCGAAUCCUUCUCCCUCCA